CAGAGGGUAUUUUAAGAUAAAAUGUUAAUUUUGGGGAUUAAUGAUGGGUAGUUUCGCCUUUCUCUGA
rnacentral:tRNA from 1 species